GUGGUGAGAUAAGGGAAUGUGCAGAUGAGUGUCCUUGGUUGUCUGCUUCUGUGAUGGAUGGUGGAUUCCGGCACCAGGAAGCUGAGGAGUUGGGGUCUGGGAAACUUUGGUUACUUGAUAUUCUCUGGACAUAAGUUUUCCUGCAAUAAACUUCAAGGACUCAUAAUUAGCCAUGACUUCAGGUUUUAACAAUUUGUAACUUCUAUGUGCAUUGUGCAGGGAAAGGUCAGUGUUCUAAUCUCAACACUAGUUUCCUGCAUAUGUGAAGCUCAGGGAUACAAAGGUUAAAGAAAUCGAUAUUUACGUAUGAAUGUGACUAAAGAAGCAGGAAAAGAGGAUGGGUGCUUUUGGUUUUAACCUCAUCCAAGCUGGGUUUAGUGUAGGGGAAUCAAUAUCAGGGCCAGUAUCAUGGAGGCUCUAGGAGAGAAUCUUCUCUUCUCUCUUCCAGCUUCUGAUGGCUCCAGGUGUCCCUUGGCGUGCAGCUACAUCACUCCAGGCUCUGCCUCCGUCUUCACGUGGCCUUUUCCUCUCUGCAUCUUCUCUUCUUUUAUAAGGACACUUAUCAUUGGAUUUAUGGCCCAUCCUAAUCCAGGAUGGCCUCCCUGGCUCCUGGCACAAAGCUCAUAAAACCCUUGGAAUUUCCUGAGUGAUAGGGGUGAGAAGAGUGUCUUCUGUUAUUCCUAACAAGCUGCUUUCAAUCACACCAGAGUUUAUGCUAAUGAGUUGGCUCUUAGAGGAUGGGGGCUGGUUGCCAGGGGAACCAACCACUUGAUGAGAGGGUUAGAAAUUUCAGCCCUGCCCCAGACCUCUAGGGAGGGAUGAGGGGCUGGAGAUGGAGUUAAUCACCAAUGGCCAAUGAUUUAACCAACCAUACCUAAUGAAACCGCCAUAAAUACCACUAAAUGAAGGCGUUCUGAGAGCUUCCAGGUUGGUGAACGCAUCCACGUGCUGGGACGGCGGCACAUCCUCAACUCCUUGGGGCGGGGGCUCCUGUGUUUGGGACCCUCCCAGACCUCAGACUAUGUGCCUCUUCAUCUGGCAGUUCAUCUGUGUCCUUUAUGAUAAAUGGGUAAUAGUUCAGCGCGGCGAGGGGAAGCUACUGCCUUUGGUCAGCUACGGCAAAAUGCUCUACAUUUGUCUCCAUCAGCCCGCCAGACCCCGGAUCUGAGAAGCUUGUCAACUAGGUCCAGAUUUUAGUUCACAGGAAGCCCAGGGGUAAGGCAGACUUCAGGUGAGAGAAUGAAGUCACUCUGUGAGGUCAUGGAGCAUCCAGGAGUUUUCCUUUUCCCUGCUCUGCAAAAAGAAGCUGGACUUGGUUAUCUUCAGCUAGGUGGCAAAAUUUCUAUGCAGCUCUGGGCAUGGCAUCAGGACAGACAAAUCUGAACUGUCUCUGUAGAGGCAGAGAGACCAUCUCUUCCUGUGCAUCUCUGCUAGUUAGGAGGACAUCCUCCCAGGAGCCUUGAAGAAGCCAUCCCUCCUCAUCUUACUAGCAAGAAUCAGAUUGCCUGCCCAAUUCUUGAGUUGGAUACUAGCAAGAUUACAGGCAUUGCCUCUGGUCCAAUCAGAUACUCCAAGGAGCUAAAGGUGGCAUCAGCUUUUCCACGGACAUUGUGCUUCAUUGGGGAAAGAUUUGGGGGACAAAGAUGUGAAGAAAAUCACACGUCUAAUUGAAGUAUAAAUGAGGAAAUACAUUCUGAGAGGCAAAUGCUGGUUUUCUAACACACAUGUCUAGGAGGGUUUGUUUGCUAUUGCUUCUGUUGUUGAUAGAACAACAUUUCUGAGAGUAUAAGAUUAUGAAUGCCUGCCUUUGGGUCAGAAAAAAAACUAUCAUAAAGUUUAUGCAUUCUUUGGAUUUGAUUUUCAUUGCUGAACAUGAUAGAAUUCAAAGACGACAGUGCUCUUCAUACAGCAAAGUUCUUGUUGGAGGAAGAAUGGAAAUUACAAUGCUGAAAUAAUACCUGACGACUUCCCAUCCUGAAAAUGCCUCGGACAUUGUAAUUAUCUCAUAAAAGAUACUGACUCAAGAUUUCAAAAGUCCCUACACAGAAUCCUCAGUUAUGCAAAGCUUGUCAAAGACAGUCCAUUUGAUUUGAGGAUGAAUAAAAUAAAGCACUAUAAAUUCAAGUGAAAGAGUCUCAGGGCAUUCCUGCUUUCUCCAAUCCAAACCUACCGAUGUUUAAAAUGUAAACUUGGAGUUCUGAUUCCAUUUGCACUGUAGGACUGGGAAGAACUCCUGAGCAUGCUCACACACAUCAACCAAACAAAAUACAUUGGGUCAUGGCAGAGGGGUGAUCCUUUCCAGGAAAUCUUAGUAAUAUUUUUAGAUGUAUGACAACUUAAAUGGGCUAUUCUGAACUAAUUACUAAGGCACAUGUAAAUCUAGUUUUUAAUAACUUUUCUUUACACUAAAUAUCUUUGUUUGACUUUACCCACUCAUAGACAAAGACACUCCUUUUAGCAAAAUAGUUAAUUAAAUUACCAUAAUUCAUUAGGAGUGACAAAACUUGGGAGAGAAGCUUCCCUGAAAGUUUUGAUGGAAUGAGCAAGAGAAGUUUCAUUUUUAUUC
ensembl:lncRNA